UGGCGGACGGGUGAGUAACGCGUGGGUAACCUGCCUCACACAGGGGGAUAACAGUUGGAAACGACCGCUAAUACCGCAUAAGCCAGCAGGGGCGCAUGCUCUGGUUGGAAAAGAUUAAUCGGUGUGAGAUGGACCCGCGUCUGAUUAGCCAGUUGGCAGGGUAACGGCCUACCAAAGCGACGAUCAGUAGCCGGCCUGAGAGGGUGAACGGCCACAUUGGGACUGAGACACGGCCCAAACUCCUACGGAAGGCAGCAG
rnacentral:rRNA from 1 species